GCCUGCAUGAAGCUGGAAUUGCUAGUAAUCGCGGAUCAGCAAGCCGCGGUGAAUACGUUCCCGGGCCUUGUACACACCGCCCGUCACACCAUGAGAGUCGGGAACACCCGAAGUCCGUAGUCUAACCGCAAGGGGGGCGCGGCCGAAGGUGGGUCCGGUAAUUGGGGUGAAGUCGUAACAAGGUAUC
rnacentral:rRNA from 1 species